CAUAUUACUUAUACUAGCAAUCGAUGUGUUCGAAGGAAAACGAAGUUUGAUAUUAAACAAGAUUACGACGCUAAUGCUAUACAACAUUGUUUAUUAACAAAAAGGGGGACACAGAUAAACGUUUCGGAAUUCUAUC